rnacentral:rRNA from 1 species
AUUGAACGCUGGCGGCAGGCCUAACACAUGCAAGUCGAGCGGAGCGGCGGACGGGUGAGUAAUGCCUAGGAACCUACCUGGUCGUGGGGGAUAACGUCCGGCAACGGGCGCUAAUACCGCAUACUAUCAGAUUAGCCUAGGUCGGAUUAGCUAGUUGGUUGGGUAAAGGCAUAACAAGGCGACGAUCCGUAACUGGUCUGAGAGGAGGAUAGGUCAGACUGGAACUGAGACACGGUCCAGACUCCUACGGGAGGCAGCAGUGGAGAAUAGUGGACAAUGGGCGAAAGCCUGAUCCAGCCAUGCCGCGUGUGUGAAGAAGGUCUUCGGAUUGUAAAGCACUUUAAGUUGGGAGGCGUUACCAACAGAAUAAGCACCGGCUAACUUCGUGCCAGCAGCCGCGGUAAUAC